rnacentral:rRNA from 1 species
UAAUAGACUACCCAGGUAGUCCACGCCCUAAACGAUGCGAACUGGAUGUUGGGUACAUUACGGUACUCAGUGUCGAAGCUAACGCGUUAAGUUCGCCGCCUGGGGAGUACGGUCGCAAGACUGAAACUCAAAGGAAUUGACGGGGGCCCGCACAAGCGGUGGAGUGUGUGGUUUAAUUCGAUGCAACGCGAAGAACCUUACCUGGCCUUGACAUCUGUCGAAUCCUGCAGAGAUGCGGGAGUGCCGCAAGGAACGACAAGACAGGUGCUGCAUGGCUGUCGUCAGCUCGUGUCGUGAGAUGUUGGGUUAAGUCCCGCAACGAGCGCAACCCUUGUCCCUAGUUGCCAGCACGUAAUGGUGGGAACUCUAGGGAGACUGCCGGUGACAAACCGGAGGAAGGUGGGGAUGACGUCAAGUCCUCAUGGCCCUUACGGCCAGGGCUACACACGUACUACAAUGGUCGGUACAGAGGGUUGCGAAGCCGCGAGGUGGAGCCAAUCCCAGAAAACCCGAUCCCAGUCCGGAUCGGAGU